rnacentral:lncRNA from 13 species
GACCCUGGAUAUUUAUUAGAAAGCCGUAUCAAGCUCUUCCCCCGUGCACGUUCACCCCCCUGCGAAAUUCUUCNNNNNNNNNNNNNNNNNNNNNNNNNNNNNNNNNNNNCUCUCUCUCUCUCUCUCUCUCUCUCUCUCUCUCUCUCUCUCUCUCUCUCUCUCUCUCUCUCUCUCUCUCUCUCUCUCUCUCUCUCUCUCUCUCUCUCUCUCUCUCUCUCUCUCUCUCUCUCUCUCUCUCUCUCUCUCUCUCUCUCUCUCUCUCUCUCUCUCUCUCUCUCUCUCUCUCUCUCUCUCUCUCUCUCUCUCUCUCUCUCUCUCUCUCUCUCUCUCUCUCUCUCUCCUUCUCUCUCUCUCUCUCUAACUCUAACUCUCUGUAAUGACAAGGGUUGUACUGUAUGUGUGUGUCUAUUCCAGUCUUCUCAUUGGACACCAUGGGGGGGCCAGGGCGGCCAAGAGACCCCCACAGCCCAGACCCCUAAACGGGCCCCCCCUAACUACACCCCUGGAGUGAAGAGAAAGAAGAGGCAGCAGGGUAACAAGGCACCGCUCCCAAACAAACCACAGGACCUGCAGGUGUGUGUGUAUUUCUCUCUCUCUCUCUCUCUCUCUCUCUGUCUCUCUCUCUGUCUCUCUCUCUCUCUCUCUCUCUCUCUCUCUCUCUCUCUCUCUCUCUCUCUCUCUCUCUCUCUNNNNNNNNNNAUGUUAUCAUGUUGUUAUUACUCUAAUCUUAUGUUAUCAUGUUGGUUGUUACUCUAAUCUCAUGUUGUUGUGACUCUAAUCUCAUGUUAUCAUGUUGGUUGUUACUCUAAUCUCAUGUUGGUUGUUACUCUAAUCUCAUGUUAUCAUGUUGGUUAUUACUCUAAUCUCAUGUUAUCAUGUUGGUUAUUACUCUAAUCUCAUGUUAUCAUGUUGAUUAUUACUCAUCACCAAUACAUGAAUGAGCUACAGAGCUAAUAGGCUGGUUUAUGUUGCGAACAAUUUAUGAUGCUUUUCUUAGCCAGAAUCACCUACAAAAAGAACGAUGCGACCGGCCUUCAAUUGAACGUUUUAACUCGUUAUACAGCCUACAGUUCACAANNNNNNNNNNACAGGCACUAAACUACACAGGCACUAAACUACACAGGCACUAAACUACACAGACACUACACUACACAGACACACACUACAGAGAAACAAUACAGGCACUAACUACACAGGCACUAACUACACAGGCACUCACUACACCGACACUCACUACACAGCCACUAAACUACACAGACACUAAACUAUACAGACACUACACUUAAACUAAACUACACAGACACUACACUUAAACUAAACUACACAGACACUAAACUACACAGACACUACACUACACAGACACUAAACUACACAGGCACUAAACUACACAGACACUACACUACACAGACACUACACUACAGAGGCACUAAACUACACAGGCACUAAACUACACAUACACUACACUACACAGGCACUAAACUACACAGACACUACACUACACACAUUUUCACAUUUCCAUG